AUCUACCCCAGCUCUUAGAACGGUGCUCUGCACAUACACUUCCAAGAACUCCCAAAUGAUCAAUGAUCCGCUGAAGCUGUGGAGUUGGAAGAGUGUGCUGGCGCAUCUGAAUCGUCUUCUAACCCCAGAUCCUGGAUUCCUUUGGUGUCCUUAAGAAAUCCUGCCUAGAAUGAUGCGUGAGAAGAGGAGGGAAGACUGAAAUAUCUGAACAACGUCCGGCACAGAGUAAACGCUUAACGGAUACUAUUAAAAACAAAACGUUACUCCGAGAGACAAGCAAACGAAGAAAAAAUGAGGAGAAAAUGGCAAGCAAACCAUCGAAUUAUAUGUUUACUGUCAACAUUUAAAGCAGAAUUCAUGUUGUGAUGUACUCAUUCUCACACUGGAUUUUCAGUUGGGGAAAUGAGACAGCUGCUCCAGGAGAAAUUCCCAUCUGCAUGUGUUUAUCUCUUUUUCACUGGAUCACAAGUUACUAUUUUUCUUCGGGUCCAUGGGAAAUUCAGAGUUUCUUCUAGGAACUCGAGAACAUUGUGUUUUAAACCAAACCCUCCCUGGGAGAAACGAUUCAGAGCUCUCAGCGAUCUGUUUUUUUUUACUCUUUUGCCUCCCCCCUCUCCAACACAGUUUUUUUUAAUGGUAUUCGUUAAGCGCU